rnacentral:rRNA from 1 species
CUAUGCCUAUCUACUCUGCCUGGCAUGGGGGGAUGUGCUUCUACCGCGUACGCUCUUACCGCAUACGUCCUAUCGGAGAAGGAGGGACCGUCCUUGCGCUAUUGGAUGAGCCUAGGCCUGAUUAGGCAAUUGGUGAGGUAAGGGCUCACCGGAGCAUCGAUCCGUAACUGACUGAAAAGGAUGAUCAACUCCUCCGGGACGGAGACACGGGCAAUACUCCAACAUGGGGGCACGCCGGAUCCUAUCAUGCCAUGUGAGUGAGCCUGGCCCUACCGUGGUAAAGCUCUGAACCGGUCAUCAUAAUUNCGGUAACUUUAAAUUAAGAGGAAGGUAACUUCGUGCCUACUCUGCCGUUUKGACGUUACCGGCUAACGAUGUUCCGAUUUACUGUGUGUCAACCGCANCGGUAAUAACUAUGGUGUCAGGGUUGAACUCCCUUACCGCAACCCCGGAACUGCCUUUUGGCUGGUUAGUCUUGAUGUCAAAUCACCUGACUGGAACUGCGAACUGCAUUCUGAACUGACUGAUAUUCUUAGGAACAGGGUGGUGGAANUUCCUGCGUUGGCUCGAUACUGACACUGAUAUGCAGAACUGAGUAGCAAACGGAUUANUUGCCCUGGUAUUGACAUUGAGUGGGGAAAGGGGGGGGACCAACCAGGAUUGGAUACCCUGUUAGUCCCCNCCUUAAAUGAUAUAAAUUACCGUUGGGCAGCAUUGAGUUUUUAGUGGCGCAGAUAACGCUUAAAUUUGACCGCCUGGGGAGUACGGCCACAAGGUUAAAACUAAAAAGAAUUGGCGGGGGCCCGCACAAGCGGGGGCACAUGUUGUUUUAUUAGAAGCAACGCGAAACACCUUCACACCCCUUCACAUCCAUUGAACUUUCCAGAGAUGGUUUCGUUCCUUUGGGAACAUUGACACAGGUGCUGCAUGGCUGUCGUCUCAUCGUGUCUUGAGAUGUUGGGUUAAGUCCCGUAACGAGAGCAACCCUUGUCCUUAGUUACCAGCUCGUUAUGGUGGGCACUCUAAGGAGACUGCCGGUGACAAACCGGAGGAAGGUGGGGAUGACGUCAAGUCAUCAUGGCCCUUACGGCCUGGGCUACACACGUGCUACAAUGGUCGGUACAAAGGGUCAGCAAGCCGCGAGGUGGAGCUAAAUCCACAAAAGCCAUCGUAGUCCGGAUUGCAGUCUGCAACUCGAGUGCAUGAAGUCGGAAUCGCUAGUAAUCGNGAUCAG